UGUGGGGUUCGGUGGCCGGU
rnacentral:miRNA from 1 species